rnacentral:lncRNA from 1 species
CGAAUUUGACCCUUCAGCAAGAUUUCUCGUGUCACGCUGUCCUUAAUAACAUAAUAUGUUGAGUGAAAUUCAAAAAACACACCAUUGUCAGUGGCAAACUAAGAUACAGAUAGUAGAUUUUUACCUAUAGCCAGAACGCACAAAACAUUAGAUAACUGAAGCAAUUUAGAGUGUGUAUUUAAAACACCUUGACCAAUUGACGAGAUCUUAGCGGGCGCUCCAUCACCCAUUAAAAGAGAAGACGUACCUGAAUACGGGGUAGCAUCAUUCAGAGCGAACGAAUCCCUACAGCCAUGAUUGCUGGCACCUGAAUCGAGAUACCACGACGUGGUACCUACCGGUACUGAAAUAUACGAAUCAGUGCUAUCAUUAAUGCCAAACUGUGCAGAAUUAACAUGAAAUCUGGAUGAGUCAAAAUAACAAAAAAUGUGAAGGUCACUUACACGAGGAAGCCUGAUGCACGAAUCAGACCCGCAGUAAACAUAAGCUCGUGGCUUAAUGUGCCAAGGAAUUACAGAUUGACCACCAGUCGGC